rnacentral:lncRNA from 1 species
GAGAUCUAUGUUGUACCAGAGGACAAAAAGAAGACCCAUUUCAUUUGUCCAUUCGAUACUUUCACCUGUUAGGAAACUACGCAAAAUUUCCCACUACGCCAAAAAGGUUUUUUAACAGCGCAUCUUAGAUAGCGCUUUUAAAAGAAAGCGCUGUCUAAGGUUAAAAUAAAAAUAAAACACGGAAAAUGUUCUAAAAAAAUAAUGAAAGCGCUUUUAAAUAUAGACCUUAGUCAGCGCUUUUGAGAAAGCGCUGUUUAAAGUCUUUCA